CUCAAAACCGCUGACCUGAGCUCCAAGCUGUGGAACCUGUUCCUGAGAUCAGAGGAAGCUUUCUGGAGAACCCAACUGCAACCAAAUAUUUUCGAAGUCCUGGAACAAGUAGAGAGAGGGUUUUUAUUUUGACAAUUGUAACUGCCAUCAAGGUCUGAAACUGUAACACCACAAAAAUGAUGUUUCUGGCGAGCACCUGAAAGGUGAGUGCCAGAAAUCUCACACAAAAUGCUGGUUUUCAGAUGACUGCCAGUUCAAACUGGAGAUUUGAUAGCUUCAGAUAAUUUCAAUAAAC
rnacentral:lncRNA from 1 species